GCUACUACAGACUCUCUUUUUGUACAAAUUGCAGCACAUUCAUUUAAUUCUGAAUUUUGCACAAGUUGAAAGGCAUUUGUUUGUGCAUAGUAAAACAUAUCUGUGACAUUUAUCAAGUUCCUAAUAUAAAAAAAUAAACCGUGAACAAUGAUGAACACAGAAAGUGAUGGCCUAAGACAUUUUUUUUUUUUUUUUUUUUGCUGUCAUAGGCGAGCGGCGUGCGCAUUUAAUGCACGAGACAAAGCCAACACAUAUGUUGUCACUCCCCACGACUAGUUUAAAAUGUUUCCAUACCUCCG
ensembl:lncRNA